CAAGAUAGUAGCUGUGGAGAUGGAUACAGUGAAUGAAUAUUUUGGAAAUAGAAUUAAUAUUACUGGAUAAUGGAUUGGAAAAGAGAAACAAUGGAAAAGGAAGAGUUAAGGAUGGCCAUUUGAUUUCUGGCUUGUUUGUGGACGGCACUAUUAUACAUUGCAAUAGAGAAGACAGGUAUAACCAGGAAUGGGAAAGAAAAUUUGAAGUUCCAUUUGAACAUACUGUGGUGUUAUUGGGUUAUCCAGAUGGGAUGACAGUCAGUUGGGUAAAUGAGGCUAGAAUUCCAGGGGAAGUAUAGGCUGUGGAUACAAAUUUGGGAUGUAUCAAUCCUCUCCUAAGGAUUUAUCAUGAUAAAAAUAAGCCCCACAAAUGUACACACCAAUAAAUAUAAAAAUGUAAUUGCUGCUAAUAAAAAAUUAUAACCUAAACAUUCAGAAAAAUUAUGCUCCAAACAUUCAAGAAAAAAAAGUUAGAUUGUUCCUGGUAUUUAAGACUAUAAAGAAUUUCUAUAUAUAAUGACCAAAAGAGAUAAUCACAUUUGUUAGAUGUUCAAAAGACAAGAAAAAGCUGUAGGAGUACUUCCAGUAACAAUGAGAGGGUAAAGAAAUCACAAGAGUUUUUCUAUUUUAAUUUAGAAGGUUUAUAGUCAAGAUUAAAUAGGUUUAAUGUAUGAUACUCUGUAUGUGGUGUGAGAUAAGGAUUGUGUUCAUUUUUAUUUGCAUAUAGGUAUCCAGUUUUCCCAGCACCAUUUCUGAAGACUUUACUGAAUUACUUAAACACUUUGCUGAAAACUGAAUUUGCAUUUAUACUCUCAUACAGACUCAAAACAACAGCAUAGAAAGAAUGCAAGGGAAUAUACUCCAUUCUCAUAUCCUACCACUGUUUUACAUCCAAUAAGGAGAUCACCUAUGCUGGAAAAGACAAACUGAACUGACCCAGUCUUGCUCUGAAAGUCUGAGUAAUGGUCUUCAUAGGGCUGAGUAAAUGGGCUUCCCAACUGGCUCAGCGGUAAAGAAUCCGCCUGUGAUACAGAAAAUGCAGGAGAUGCCAC
ensembl:lncRNA